GUCGUUCAUGUGGAAGAAUCAUUUUGGCUCCUGUGCUCCUCUCUGAAUCUUUUCCUCGUGGUUGCACUGUACUGGUCAAACAAAUUAAAUUACUGCAGCAGUAUAGACCGGACCGCUCCUCUUUCAGAAGACAGAAGCAAUGAAAGCCGUCAGGAUGAUUUUUACUGCCAGACUUCUGGUUGCUGGCUCUGAUGAUGGAGACAUUGUGAGCAUGGAGCAGAAAUUAAUGUGCGGAGGUUAAACGCUGGAACUAACUCAUGUUUCAACAAAAGGCCAUUAUAUUAAGCUAUAAAACCCCUCAGAUUCAUCUUGAUUUUACCGUGCUCAAAUCUAGAGCACAUUUUUACCAUUUCUGUUAUUUUUUUGUUUAUCUUGUGAAUUUCCUGGAUCAACUACACAGAAUAAUAUUAGCAUGAUAGUAGAGAGAAUAAGAAUGAGUCUGUUAGUUAAACACAUUCACAAAUCAUUUAUUAGUUAGCAGCACAUCUUCAGAUAAACUAUAGGCUUGAAUGAGCUACAGGUGACUUUACUGAAUGCAUUACUGUAUGACCACAGGUCAACGAAAGACUUA